UUUGCUAUGUGAAUUUCGCCUCAAAAAACCCCCAAAGAAAAAGCCAAUAACCAUCUGCCUCCAUCGCACACACAUGCGCACACACACACAGAAGCACCCUGUUAGCAGCCACUCUCUGCUUCAGGGGUCCAGGUGGUGAGGGGCCUCACUCAGGCCUUCCUUUCCAUCAAGGAAAGAACACAGUGGUGUCCUGAAGGGCAGGGGCCUGUGGAAGCUGGAGGACAAUAGGGGAGUGGCCUUAGCUGACCCAGGGGAGCAGGGCAACUGGAGCCUGGGCAUGAAGCACAGACGGCUCAAGCACAGCAAGGGUUCCCAGGCAGGGUUGCCCAUGGAGACACUGUGUGAUGGGCAUCCAUGGUCACGGGGAGCAGCGCUACCAGGUCAAAAGUGGCGAGAAGCACUUGACAGCAGCCUCGAGUAGCAGAAGGAGCCACAGUAACGUCGGUGUCCACCAGGGACAAAGACUGGCCCUCUCCUGUUUUCCCAGCACUGCACACACCCUGGAGUUUUGGUAGAAUCCAAAGGAGGUGUGGAGAUGACUGACACGGCACACCCUUCAGGAUAUGCCGUGCCGGAUGGACAGAUACAACAGACAUGGGGAGAGGAAGCAAAGUCUCUUUAAUGAUGAGGGGUGUGGAAACGUGUGGAAAUGGUUAGAAAGCAAGAGACGACCCAGCCGGCUUCCAGAGAGAGCCUGGGCCUCGAAGCAGAUGCAAACCUCUCUAAGGAAGAAAGGGGCGGCUACAGCGGGAAUCAAAGACACCAUUUCUCAGCUUUGAGUUUUAAAGUAGUCUUAAAAUUUCAUAGCAAGACAAUGGUCUCGAAAGCCAGACUUUUCAGAGAAAGGUUUUUCUUAAAACUCCGAAGGCUGGAGUUUUCACACAUCAAACAAUCAAAGCUGAGAGAGGUUGAAUGCUCAUUUUGUGAGUCAUAGAGCAGGGCAGAAUGAGGAUAUGACAAAAGGGAAGUUUCUACCCCACAGGAAGGAGAACAGUGAUUUUGAGACUUGGGGAAAGAAUUGAGAAAUGGGGCAAGGAAAUGCAGGCAGGGGUCAGGUGGUGUGCUGGUUCUCACCACCCCUCCCAUUGGGAUCAAACUCCAGGGGUAAGGGAGGACGGGAACAUCCAGGUAGUUUUAGGGCCUCCAAGAACUUCAGGGCUGGUGCCCCCACUUCCCCAGAUGUAGCCUGAGGAGUCUUCACAUCUUUCAGAGGAGCCUUUGGGUCAGCCUGAUACUGCAUCCAACAUGGCGCCCAAGCCAAGGAGUAGAGAUGACUGAGGGAGAUGCUCUGGUGGGUUGGGCCUGAGAUAGCACCCCUGGUUCGUAAUGAUCCAGCAUAUGAUGUGGAGGAGGUCCAGAAGUUCCUGUGUGCCACAGGGGAACCUGAAAAGUAGCUGAGGUGCUAGCUGGUGAGUUCACUAGGACGUCAUCACGGCAAAAGGCAAAGUGACCAGAGCUUCAGGAUGGACUUCUCAAACCAGGGGUCAAAUGGCUUUCCGUGCAGGCCUCAGGGAAGCAGGAGCCUCAGUGAGAGGCAGGUGAGGCCAAGGCAGCCAGGCAGCCUCCAACCCCCAGGCAACAUGUAACUGUGCCGCAAGACCUGAAGACACACAAGCUUCCUCUGCAACCAGCUGCCAUCUUGGAAUGAAGAAGGAGAAGGAAACCCCUUGGGGUGAUGGAGAAACCCAAAGAUGAAGUAAUUACUCAAAAGGAAAUGAUUUUAACCCGAGAGAGUCUGAGAUGCUACAACGGCAAGAACAAGAGUUUUUUGUCUACAGUAGAAAUGAGGUCUCAGGAGAUGAUUGGGAUUUUAUUGAUGGUCAUGUUUUACACAUCCAAGCAAAUUCCACCUUCACAGGAUCCUCAUGACUUCUAUCAUAACAUACGUUAUUUUUUCCAAUUAUGAUGGUAAUAUGAUUUCAUUUUAGAAAAUUUGGGGAACAAGACCAUAGAGAAGAAAACAAAAAUCCCGUCAUCUCAUCAACCAAAGAGAACUACAGUUAACAUCUUUGUUGAUUUCCUUCCAGUCUUUUCUCUAUGUGUACGUGUUUGUGUGUGUAUUACUGUGACUGGACACUUACAUAGCUUGUUGGUUGACAAGAUUCUUUAAUGUCUAAAGCACUUUUGUUUGUGGAAAGGAAUACCCACCACUUUGUGUACUUUGUUUAUUAUCUUUAAAUAAUCACCACUUUAAAUAAUCACCAUUACAAUCACUUCUAAAUAUUCACAGGACUCAUGACCACUAAAUCGAAAAUAUAAGAAGCUAACAAAUUCAGUUUCCCCAAAUGCUUAAACAUUGAUUGAAGUGUGAUCAAUUAAACUUCCCUAAGCAAUUGAUUACCAGUCUCCAAUAUAUAUAGAUUUUCUCAUGUGUUUUAAACGCCUUAAAAUGGAGACAGAACACGCCCACAAUGACAAGGAUUUCUAAACUGGGCAGCGCUUACACUAAAGCUGUUACAGAAGCGCUAAGACCAUGGGUUUACGUCGUAUCUCCAUCAUCUCCUCCUUACUCCUCUGUUGGUUUCUCCCCAGAGGCACGACUGUCUUCCCUUAGCUGAGAGAGCGGGGCUGCCUCGGCACUGGCUGAGGUGGCGUAAAGGGCAACAGGUCAGAGACCGCUCAGAUUAUUGGCUCUGAGUGCUCAGACAGGAUUUGAUUUUUUAUAGUCCUCCUCUUUGCCCCCAAGUGACACUUGCUCUGGGUGUUCUCACUUUGUAGCCCCGCCUGUUAUAAUCCUGCUUUACAAUUGUUCUGGGCAGUGGGGCAACUGACCUGGUUUAGAUAAAAAUUUGCCACACUGAAACGACAGCUUCUCUUUCUCAUUGACUAUUUUGACCUAUAAUAUUGACACUCUUUUUUUUUAAUGAGUAUUUUGUGAAUGAUUAAAUUUUCUUCAAAACUGUUUUUUAAUGGUUGCAUAACAUUUACUGGGAUGAACGCACCAUGAUUUAUUUAAGCUAUCUACUUAACUAUUUUGGGGUAUAUAGAUUAUAUUCCAUUUUUCUUUCCAUUAAAUCCAUCUCUGCUUAGAUGACGCUUGCUUGUGAAUCUCAGCAUGCCUUUCUAGUUGAUUGGGUUAAAUUCAUAGAAGGGAACCUCUUGGGUCAAUGGUUAUGAGGAUAUUUAAGGCUUUUGAUACUUGAUGCCAAAUUACCUUCUGGAACGGCUCAUCGUUCUGGUGUGGUCCCACAUAGGACAGGAAAAGGCACUGCCAUCUUUCUUUGGAGCCAGGGUAACCAAGGCAUGGCAGAGCGAAUUGUCUAAAGGGAGAGUAACUGGAGGUUCCAGCGAAGGAAGGUCCAUGCCAGGUUUCCGAACAUCCCCUAAGUCGCUUGAUGUGGUAACUGUGCUUUUCAAACUGACCACUCAGACCCAACCUGACAAGACCAGGCAUACUUCACGAACACUGGAAAAGAAUAUUUAGAAUCAAGACAGUUUCAGACAAGCUGGAACAUGGUAUGAUUAGCUGUUCAUACCUAUAUUGUCCAAUAUGGCAGCCGCCAGCCACAUGCAGCUAUCGAGCUACUGUGACUGAGGAAUGGAAUUUCUAAUUUAUUUUAAUUUUAAUUUAAAAAAUGAUAUUUGAUUCAGUUAUUAGAAAACUCUUAAGUGUGUUUGGAACAAUUUGGGUAUGUGAAUUUUUUUAUGCUAAGUUUUAUGAAGCCUAACUAAAUACAGAUCAAUAUUCCCAAUGAAAAUUUAGCACCCAAACUGAGAUGUGCUGUAAGUGUAAACACACACUGGGUUUGAAAGACUUCGUAUGAAAGAAGAAUGUAAGCUAUUUCGUUAGUAAAUGUUUUGUACUGCUCACAGGGUGCAAUGACAAUAUUUUGAAUAUAGAGGGUUA